AGUGAACGCUGGCGGUAGGCCUAACACAUGCAAGUCGAACGGCAGCACAGUAAGAGCUUGCUCUUACGGGUGGCGAGUGGCGGACGGGUGAGGAAUACAUCGGAAUCUACUUUUUCGUGGGGGAUAACGUAGGGAAACUUACGCUAAUACCGCAUACGACCUACGGGUGGAAGCAGGGGAUCUUCGGACCUUGCGCGAUUGAAUGAGCCGAUGUCGGAUUAGCUAGUUGGCGGGGUAAAGGCCCACCAAGGCGACGAUCCGUAGCUGGUCUGAGAGGAUGAUCAGCCACACUGGAACUGAGACCCGGUCCAGACUCCUACGGGAGGCAGCAGUGGGGAAUAUUGGACAAUGGGCGCAAGCCUGAUCCAGCCAUACCGCGUGGGUGAAGAAGGCCUUCGGGUUGUAAAGCCCUUUUGUUGGGAAAGAAAAGCAGCAGGUUAAUACCCCGCUGUUCUGACGGUACCCAAAGAAUAAGCACCGGCUAACUUCGUG
rnacentral:rRNA from 1 species